UGAAAGAAAAUUGAAGCUGAAUGGCUCUGAGGAUGUAAAGAUUUCAGGAAAUUCUGUCUCCCUAUAUUGGAGAUCUUGUAAGAACUGGAAGUCUUCAGAAGAUAUCUGGUCCAAGGUGCUACCAAGGAACUAUUCCCACCUCUUCCUGAAAGUUGGCCAACCCUGCCUCGGCUUAAUAAUUCCACUGAUAGAACUGCACUCCAGUGGUACUAGCUGGCACUGGCUAGGUCGCAAGGAUGAGGUUAGGAAACCGUUCUUUUUUAUUGUAAACCAAAAUCUAAUACUUAGCCAUUGGUUCUAGUUUUGAUGAAGCAAAACAAAGAACUAAUAGCUGCCCUCUUUUGGGUGAGGGCCCUUUGAAAAGGUCAACAUGGCCUUUUUCCUCUAGCGAGCUUUGCGUUCCCUGUGCACCGGAAGUGAUCCCCUGCAUGGCUGGGCUGCUCGGGCUAGAGCGUCAGGAAGAGCCUAAAGAUUAGACUGUAAGAAAAGAAAACAGAAGCCAUGUUUCGAAGACCUGUAUUACAGGUACUUCGUCAGUUUGUAAGACAUGAGUCCGAAACAACUACCAGUUUGGUUCUUGAAAGAUCCUUGAAUCGUGUGCAGUUACUUGGGCGAGUGGGUCAGGACCCUGUCUUGAGACAGGUGGAAGGAAAAAAUCCAGUCACAAUAUUUUCUCUAGCAACUAAUGAGACGUGGCGAUCAGGGGACAGUGAAGUUUACCAAUUGGGUGAUAUCACUCAAAAGACAACAUGGCACAGAAUAUCAGUAUUCCGGCCAGGCCUCAGAGACGUGGCAUAUCAGUAUGUGAAAAAGGGGUCUCGAAUUUAUUUGGAAGGGAAAAUAGACUAUGGUGAAUACAUGGAUAAAAAUAAUGUGAGGCGACAAGCAACAACAAUCAUAGCUGAUAAUAUUAUAUUUCUGAGUGACCAGACGAACAAGAAGUAGAAAGGAGGAUUCUUCUUUGGCCAUCAUUUGGUACAGUCUCAUUUCCAAGUCAUGUAUAAUCUUUAUCGCUCCCAAGGACAAGAAUUAAAAUACUCUUUUACAUAAAAAAAAAAAAAAAA